CGGGUAGUGUGCGCGUGUGUGCGUGUGUGUGCGUGUCCCUGUCAACACACCGGCCAUGAAAGUAAGCCAGAUAUUAAGAUUAAUAAAAUUAAAGUCGCCUGACUCGUUUGUAAAAAGUCUGUUAUACGUCUUUUAGGUGUUUUUUGACAGCUUCAGAGUGUUUAGGGAGCUAAGCACAACUCUUUGAGCUGUUAGCCUGCUGCGUAGCUGUCAGCUAGCAUCCUUGCUAGUUUUGUGCUAACGGUGUAUGUGUGCGUGAGCAUCACCAGACCAGGAAAGCAGGGCCGCACCUCUGGCUCCGAGGGAGACCCACCAUCGUUCUCCUUCCUGACCCUCAGGACCUAGGAGGACCGUUUUGUUUUCUUCAUGAGGACGCAAUGAGGACUAUCUCUUCUACCGUGUGUGGGACCACGUUUGGACAAAGUAAGGAGACUGUCAUUGAACGGUGGGACCCCCCCUGAGGAACCCACUGCGGCCCAGUGAGGGAAGACAUCAUCACUGCUCUGAGCAGUACAGGCCAAGGCUUUGCAGAUGUGCAAGGCUGUGUUGGACUCCUCGAAUGUGAAGAUCUGGAGUCAGCACUGGAACUCGCACUGCUGCAGUGUAUCACGUUGAAUCAGGAAAAAGAACACAAUGAAGACGGAAGGGCUAAAGAAGAUCGCGUGGGGAAUUUGGCGUACAGAGAGCGAGAAAGAGACACAUAAGGUCUGAGAGAGAGCUGAGUAUAAAGAAGAGGAGAGAGAGAGAGAUACUCUUUACUGACAGGGAACAUUAAGUGGCAGUCUAACCGACAUUGUGGCUUUGAUAUCCGCUCUGCUUCAGACUGACCUUCACCUGCUCCACAAGAACCAAGCAACGGAGACACAAGGUGGAUGGACUGUUCCCUAAGCUGUCCUUUAGCACUCGCUCUAGUAACAGUAAUAAAACAGCGUUGUCUUGAUGGCAAAAAGGGACAGCGGAAAAAGCUCCUGGGACCUGCAAAUGCAAGCUGUUUAAUGACCGUAAAGAGAUGCUGGGGUGAAACAUAUAUAUAUAACCAUAAAAUUAGAUGGAUGUGUAGCACUGCGUUCAUAGAUGCUGAGGUUGUGUCACAUCUGACAUGUUCUUAUAGUGGAAUUAAUUAAAGUAUGUAAAGCAUGAA